CAGCACAUGGCUGUCCCAAGGGCUCAGCCACUCCCGCUGGCCCCUGGCCCCCAGGCUUCUCAGCCCAGCUCAGGUUGCAGCGUGAGGGGACCUCAACCCUCAAAGUACAGGUUGUGACCUGUUGCUCUCGGGCUUGGGAGCCCCCUUUUCUCAGCCUCCCAUCCAGGAUCAGCCCAUUUCAGAAACGGGAAGACUGACGCAGAGGUGGUGGGGAGUAGGCUCCCCUGUGCAUGUGCUGAGCUGGGCCAGGACCAGCUGGCUGGCACCUGCCCUGCUGGGUUGGAGCAGCUGGUGGAAAGCCAGGGAGGGCAGAGACUGACUGGGAGAGCCCUCUGGGAAGCGGGGAAGCAGCCUGCACCACCUCCGACCCGUGUCUGGGGUCUCCCCACAUCCCUGCCAACAGGAACUUUUCCUGGUGCCUUGCCUUUGCACCCCACAACGACCACCUGAGGGGGGACAGGAGAUCAAGCUCAGAGUGGCUAAGUAACUGCUACCAUCUGUAGUGCUGGAGCCCACAGGCAAAUCCCCCACGAGGUCCUGCCUCCUGUUACAGACCAGUUCACGAGAAGUCAAGCUCCUUCCCCAAGGCUCCUCCACCAGAACAGCAGGGACACCGACAACACUCCUCUCUCCACAGCAGCCAACGUACCUCAUGGCCACAUUGCUCCCAUCGAUGACCACUGGCCUCAGGUCUCUGCCCUCCUUGCCCUCUUCUGGGAGUGAGGGCUCCAGGCUGGGGGCCUUGGGGGUGCCCCCACCCCGGGGUACCAGAGGGAGCUGAGGGCAGGGGUCCGGGGAGGACUGGCACUCUCGCUCGGAGGCUGCACUGUGCUUCACCAGCUCGCCCAGCACUGUGUUGGUGUCUGCCUGGACCCCCAGCUUCUGCAGGACGCUGUGGAUCUCAGAGGAUGAGUAGCCCAGCUUCCGGAAGAAGUCCACCUUCAUCUGCAGCUCCAAAGCUGAUGCCUCCUCUGGGGUGGGCUCCUGGGCUGGCCGGGGGGGACCCCGACAGCUGUGGCUGUCCUCAAGCCCCCACAGACUCAUGGUGGGGCUGGCUUUCUGGACGGGCCUCUCUCCACAGGGGCCACUCAUAUCUCACACUCCUGGAAGGCACCUGUCACAGCUCCUAUGGGACAACCACAGGGUCAGUGCUGGGGAAUGUUGCUCUCAUCCCCUCUGCUGCCUGCCCCUCCCGACAGGAUGAGGCAACACGGAACCGGUGGCACUACACAAGCCUCCUUCGUG